rnacentral:lncRNA from 1 species
AAUUUAUAUCAUCCCCAAAUUCUGAGAUUCCCUGAAUAAUACACACCUGUGGAAUAAUCAGAAAUUUAUUUCCUAUGGCCCCUCAUUAGGACCACCAGAAAAUAAUACACAACUGGGGAAUAGUCAGGAGUCUAUUUCAUAUGGCCACUCAGAACCUCAGUGAAUACACACCACGGUAAUAGUCAGGAGCCUGUUUCAUAUGACCACUGAUUCAGUAUCUCACUGAGUGAUACAUACCUGGGAAAUCGUCAGGAUUCUAUUCCAUGUGACCACUCAUCCAGAGCCUUACAGAAUAAUGCACAAUGGGGCAAUAGUCAGGAAUCCAUUUCAUAUGGACCCUCAUUCAGAGCUUCAGUGAAUAAUGACACCUGUGGAGUAGUCACUACCCUAUUUAACAUAGCCACAAAUUAAGCACUUCCCUGAAUGAUACACACCUGGGUGAUAGGACUCUAUUUGAUAUGAACACUCAUACAGAACCUCUUUGAAUAAUACAUAUGUGGGAAAUAACCACUAGUCUAUCUCAUAUGGUGAUUAAUUGAGAGAAUCAAUGAAGAACACACACCUGUGGAGUAAAAUAAAAUCUAUUUCAUAUGGCCACUCUUUCAGGGCCUGAGAGAAUAAUAUACUUCUGGGAAAUAGUCAAGAGUCUACUUCAAAUGGCUACACAUUCAGAGUCUCUGUAAAUUAUGCACACCAGGGAGAUAGUCAGGAAUCUCUUUCUUCUGUCCACUGAUUCAGAGCCUCUUUUAAUAAUACACACCUGGGGAAGAGUUAGUAGUCUACCUCAUAUAGCCACUCAUUUAGAGCCUCAAUGAAUAAUGCGCACUUGGGGAAUAGACACUAGUCUUUUUUAUAUGGCCACAAAAAUCAAAGCCUGAGUAAGUAAUGCACAACUUUGGAAUAGUGAGGAGCCUAUUCCAUAUGCCUACUUUAUCAGAGUCUCAGUCAAUAAUACACACCUGGGGAAUAGUCACAAGUCUAUUUCAUGUGGUCACUAACUCAAAGUCUCAUUAAAUAAUAUACACUUGUGGACUAGUCAAAAGUCUAUUUCAUAUGGCCAAACUUUCAGAGCCUCAGUGAAUAAGGCAUACCUGGGGAAUACUCAGGACGCUGUUGCAUAUGGCGUCCGAUUCAGAGCUUCACUGAAUAAGGAACACCUGUAGAGUAGCCAGAAGUCUAUUUCAUAUAGCCACACAUUCAGAGCCUCACUGAAUAAUAUACACAUGGGGUAAAGACAAAAUUCUAUUUCGUAUGGCCACUCAUUCAGAGCCCUACCUAAAAAUGCACGCCUG